UACGAAGGGGGCUAGCGUUGUUCGGAAUCACUGGGCGUAAAGCGCGCGUAGGCGGAUUGUUAAGUCGGGGGUGAAAUCCCGAGGCUCAACCUCGGAACUGCCUUCGAUACUGGUAAUCUUGAGUCCGGGAGAGGUGAGUGGAACUCCUAGUGUAGAGGUGAAAUGCGUAGAUAUUGGGAGGAACACCAGUGGCGAAGGCGGCUCACUGGACCGGAACUGACGCUGAGGCGCGAAAGCGUGGGGAGCAAACAGG
rnacentral:rRNA from 1 species